UAGGAUUCCCUUAGUAGCUGCGAGCGAACAGGGAAAAGCCCAGCACCGAAUCCCGUGGCGGACAUCUGUCACCGGGAAAUGUGGUGUUAGGGAGGGUCCAUUUAUCCCGAGAUCGUGCGGCGCGUCCAAGUCCUUCUUGAACGGGGCCACAGCCCAUAGAGGGUGCCAGGCCCGUAGUGACCGUUGCCGAUUGCGGGAGGAUCUCUCCUCAGAGUCGGGUUGCUUGAGAGUGCAGCCCUAAGUGGGUGGUAAACUCCAUCUAAGGCUAAAUAUGACCACGAGACCGAUAGCGAACAAGUACCGUGAGGGAAAGUUGAAAAGCACUUUGAAGAGAGAGUUCAAGAGUACGUGAAACCGUUCAGGGGUAAACCUGAGAAACCCGAAAGGUCGAAAGAGGAAAUUCAUUCGCGUUUCGACUGUCGAAGUUGGAUGUUUGUAUGACGGAUAGCGUUUCGGCGUCGUCCGCUUCUUAUAUUCUUCGUGUCGAUGUCGAACGCGUGCACUUUUCCUCUAGUAGGACGUCGCGAUCCGUUGGGUGUCUGUCUAAGACUCGAGGUGGAGCCCGCGUAAUUUUUAAUUAUGCGGACCCUUGAUGUUCCGACAGACUCACUCGACGGUAUACUAAUGGCGCGGGGCCGCUACUUUAGUUAGCGUUCGGCCCGUAGCAAGCACGUUCUGUGUUUGACGGCGAUCGGACCUGGUGCCGAUUCUGUCCCAGAACGACUGUUGGUUACGGUGUUCUCGAACAGACCUCGUAUGAAACGCCGAUCAGCGACGCUCUAGAUUUGGGUACUUUCAGGACNNNNNNNNNNNNNNNNNNNNNNNNNNNNAGCAUGUGCGCGAGUCAUUGGGAUAUAACUAAACCUAAAGGCGUAAUGAAAGUAAAGGUUUACCUUGCGUAGACCGAGGGAGGAUAAGCGGUUUACCCUUAAAAGUGGCCGCUUCGCACUCCCAGAGUGUCUCAUUCUCAUUGCGAGAAGAGGCGCAUCAAGAGCGUACACGCUGGGACCCGAAAGAUGGUGAACUAUGCCUGGUCAGGACGAAGUCAGGGGAAACCCUGAUGGAGGUCCGUAGCGAUUCUGACGUGCAAAUCGAUCGUCGGAACUGGGUAUAGGGGCGAAAGACUAAUCGAACCAUCUAGUAGCUGGUUCCCUCCGAAGUUUCCCUCAGGAUAGCUGGCGCUCGUUCCGUACGAGUUUCAUCCGGUAAAGCGAAUGAUUAGAGGCAUUGGGGUCGAAACGACCUCAACCUAUUCUCAAACUUUAAAUGGGUGAGAUCUUCGGCUUGCUCGAACUUAUGAAGCCGUGAGAAACGAAUCAGAG
rnacentral:rRNA from 1 species